GACAGAGGUGCCAAGCGUUAGGCGGAAUCACUGGGCUUAAAGCGUGUGUAGGCGGAUCGUUAAGUACCUUGUGAAAUCCCACGGCUCAACCGUGGAACUGCUGGGUAUACUGGCGGUCUUGAGCCACCUAGGGGCAACUGGAACAAGCGGUGGAGCGGUGAAAUGCGUAGAUAUCAGGAGGAACACCGGUGGCGAAGGCGGGUCUCUGGGCAGUAACUGACGCUGAGUAGCGAAAGCGUGGGGAGCAAACAGG
rnacentral:rRNA from 1 species